AGACAGAGAGAGAGAGAGAGAGGAAGAGUUGAUAUGGAGCUGAGCAGUACACAAGGAGACAUGGAAAAAGUGUGUUGUAGUGAUGCGUGUGUGAGCAUAUGCGUGUGUGUGUGUGUCUUUCUCGGAGGGGCGGAGCCAGGAUUUUGGCGUGCUUGCUGGGUAAUAAGCAUACGGUCCACAAGGAUUAGGGUUUAGACUAACCUCAAUCUCCUCCUCUGACCAGGGGUGCUGCUAAUAAGCUUACGCAACUUGUGCACAUGGACUGCACACACACACACACACACACACACACACACACACACACACACACACACACACACACACACACGGCCUGAUUGUUCAGGGACUCCCUGGUGAGAAACAGUGUGUUGAUAGAUGUUAAGCCACCUCAUUUCUUCUGUCAUGUUAAAGGAAUAAAGGCACAUUAGUCCUCUGACUUGCCAUGAAGUGAAAAACCUACAAAAAUCAUACACAAACCGUGGGUGUGCGUGUGUUUGCGUGGUGAGGGUGUAAUCCUAUUUCAAGUUGUCUCAGGCCAUGAGGAUUAUGAUUGAUAUAACUGGAAAAUGGGUGACUUAAAGUGGUCACUGAAGAGCAGCGGCUGACUGAGGUGAAGAGGCAAACAACUCCAUUUUAUCCAAGGCUUGGCGAUCUCAUUAGUGUUCUAACUUCUUCUUCCUUUUUUUUUUUUUUUUUUUUUUUUUUUUUUUUUAAACAGGGCUAGCAUAUAUUGUAUUGUUAUUAGAAAGUCGAUAGUAGAGAGGUGAGAGGAAAUGAGGGAAAGGAGAGAUGAUAUGCAAUGCCACGGCUCAAACUGGGGAUGUUGCGAUUUCAUGGUCAGCUCCUUAAGCGCCUAGACCACCGGAGCACCCCGCCUUUUUAUGUUUUUACCUCUGAGGUGUGGUCGAAGUCGAAGGCAGAUUUAUACAACAAUAAAGUGAAAACUGAUGAGUCAGGCAUGAAUGGCUAUGCUACACUUACUUAUGUUAUUAUUUGUGUCAAGCCCAAAAUGCGCCAACCGGACAUGGACCAAAAAUACUGCUGCAGUGGUGAAACAUUAUCAGACAAUAACAUAACUUCUUACAGAUUUUGCAUUAAAGGCUCUGCACACCUAUAGUACGAAGACUGCACAAGUGAUUUCACUUAGUUGAUUAGACCUCUUCUCAGGACUGUGUGGCCAUGUACAAACUGUGUUUGAUGGACAUCUCCCUCUUGUGAGCUUUGUUGCACGUGAUUGGGUGGGCCAAUUACACCUUUAUCGUGCUUAUUAGUACAUAGAGCCCUGUGACCUCAUGUAAUUCCUAUCAAAGCUACCACCACCUUCAAACUAGAGCUCUAAUCAGCGUAACUUUCAGGGCCUUUAAACUUCUUCUGGCUCCAGACCUUUGAAUCGCUGCCCAUCUUUAAACAAGUCUGGCAUUGUGCUAAGGGACUAAGAAUGAGGAGGCCAUCUUCCUGUGCCAGAGCCAGAAAAAUAUAGAUAGAAAAUUUGCCAUAAAAAAUGGCGACAAGCGUGGAUUGACACAGCUAAAAAGGUUAUUUUAGGUUGACUUACAGGAGUAACAACACAUCAACAUAUUUGUUUGAUUUGAAAGCUUAAGUUAACUGCAGAUUUCACGUCACCUGAAAAUGAUGAUUGUUUAGAGCAAAACAACAACUUCUCACAGAAAACAGCAAAUAUGAACACGAUGUCAGUCUGAAUGAUGAAGUGAAAGGAAAUGGCACUUCAGUCUCGUUAUCAUUUAUUCACACUGCAAUUUGAACUUUUCCUACUUUUCUAGAUUUAACCCUGCUCUCUGCAUAUGAGUGAUCCCUGUCUGGUAGUCCAAACUGAUGCUAUUCAUGUCUUGGUGACUUCACUGUGUUUUUAAUUUUACAAGUUGUCUUCAAUGUUUUAUGUUUUCACAUCCACCUGUGUUUUUCACUUCCCCAGACUGCUGGAUUCACUGAAAAUAUCCCCACUGACAAUCUGACAUGAACUAUGCUUAUACUAUAUUUGCAUAGAGAACAACAGAUUGUUAGCAGCAGUAGCCAUGUUUUCAAUAAGUACUGCUAAAACGAGAAGUGCUUAAAUAAGUGUCUCAGAUGUGUAUGUAUGCCCACCCACAUCCUUUUCACACACAUACAUUCAUGCAUUCAUGACCACACACAUUGUUGCAAUACCAUUUAACCACAUUGGAAAUGGGGAGGUCAGAACGAACUUGUUUUGGUGUCUCUAAUUUUAAAAAAAGUGCUAUUCCAUCAACACUUGCGGCAUUUUUAACAGUCUAAAGAAGGUAUGCUCAGUGCCUCUUAGGCCUUGAAGAUGGGAAGGAUGGAUUCCAAAGACAAACUGAUUUGUUCCAUUGCAAAAGGAAAGCCACCACAUGGGUUCUUACUAAGAAAACCAGAAAACCACUUGAGCUUUAUCGUCACAGAGUUUCAGUUCAGAGACGUGUGAAUGAGGGCACAAGUAUUUUUAAACACUAAAAUCUCUCCCACCAUGUAGAGCAAUCAUAAAUAUUAAAAUGAACAUAUUUGUACAUUUUAAAUGGGGUGUUUCCACUGGUAAUUAGGGUUAACAUGAUCUUACUUGAACUUGAGAGGAGAUGUGUUAGUUAGCUCUUCACACUUCUUGCAAGUGUGUGAUAGAGAGAGACAAAACAGGGGGGGGGGGCUGUGUGAAGCUGCUGUGUGCUGGUCAACAUCUAAAUGCUCCAGUAACAGACUCUGGCUGUGGCAGCGGGUGUAGAUGGCAUCUCCAUUGACUGAGCUGGAGGUGUUGACGAUCAUGUUCUCUCUCCUGGUUUUCGCCCUCUUCACACUUACUGGGAUGUUCAAAGAGGAAUGUGCAGACUCGAAUGAGACAAAGACACAACCACAGAGCGAAGAGCUGAUCGUUUGAAAACAGUGGUCAACAGCUGCCUUUCUUCCUGUUCGAUGCCUAAUGAGGACGUGUCAGCCAAACCCUCAUGAUCCAGUGCUAUUUGCUUCCAGGAUGAGGCACAAAGGAGUGGCCUAGAUGGUACACUGUUAAAAAAAAAAAAUCAAUCAACAAAACACCUGCUUCAACCAACUGUUCCAACUGCCUUCUUUUCUCGUGGUAUGUGAACAUACACACAAGUCCUUUUAUUUUGAUCUUCAGAUGUGAAAAUAGCUGCUGAUUCUUCCACUGAACCAUUCAUCCGAUCGAGGACCCAAGGGAGAGCAGUGUCGAGUGUGACGUCAAUCAAAUGAGCGGUUCUCUUGACAGCGCUCCAAGCAAUCGGCCCACUCUGAACGGGCACGCACUCCAAACUGCCUCGCGCUCUGAACGCCCCCCCCAACAAGGCUGCAAGCAGCAAUGGAUGAGAGCA